UGCAGUGUAGCUUAACUAACGGCAAAGCCCCAAGCUCAUAACUUGGUAAAUGUGGGUUCAACUCCCACCACUGCGACCA
rnacentral:tRNA from 1 species